CGAUUUCAUUCCAGUUCAUACUUCAUGCCUUCUUCAUUCUAACAACUCAGUUCAUACCUUCUUCAUUACCGUUCAUCCAUCUACCCAUUUCAAUUCAACCCCAUCUCUCCUCAAAGCUCCAAUCUUUAAUUGCAUCUGAUCUCAUUCGAUUCCUUAACCCAGUGAUCCCACCACAGAAGCACCAACGAAUUUGGAUCAAAUUCCCAGUGAUUCCACGAUAUCUACCUUUCGAUUAUUCACUACUACUACAUCUCUAAAAACCUAAUCCUAAUUUACAGUCGCUGCGAAUUCAAAUCACUCUGAAAUUUACAGGGUUGGAACUUGGAAGAGCUUACGAAGGGCAUACCACGGUUACCGACCGAUACCAACCAAGUUUUCGGUAACUGAUCCCGAAGUGGUCGGCAGUGAUUCUAAAUUUUGUGAUACCAUCAUACGUCGGUGGUUAUGUGGUUUCUACAAAUUGGGGUCGGUUUGGUACCGGACCCGGCCCUAGUUUUUCUAUGCGUGAAGACCCAAAAUCUGAAUCACCCAAAAGCUUAAUCUCAUUUGGGGACGACUUGUAACACUUGUUUCUCGGAGAGUGAGAGAGAGAGA